rnacentral:rRNA from 1 species
UACGGAGGGUGCAAGCGUUACCCGGAAUCACUGGGCGUAAAGGGCAUGUAGGCGGUUAUUUAAGUCCGGAUUUAAAGACCGAGGCUCAACCUCGGAACUGGUCUGGAUACUGGAUGACUGGACGACUGGAGGGGAGAGUGGAAUUCUCGGUGUAGCGGUGGAAUGCGUAGAUACCGAGAGGAACACCAGUGGCGAAGGCGGCUCUCUGGACAGUGCGUGACGCUGAGGUGCGAAAGUGUGGGGAGCAAACCGG